GCGCCCGUAGCUCAGCUGGAUAGAGCGUCGGUCUCCGGAACCGAAGGUCAGGGGUUCGAAUCCCUUCGGGCGCGCCA
rnacentral:tRNA from 2 species